AAAUGAGGGGUCAGUGUAAAGUGGGAAGUGCUAUGUUUGCGUGUUCAGGACCAGGUCGCCAGUGUAACUUAAAGGGGAAGUGAAUUCAAGAGGGCAAAGAUGAAGAAAUGUUUCGCAGCUUGUGAUUGGAAACUGAAGUGUGGAGCCUGGUACUUGUGGUAUUAAAUACAGGAACUGGAUACAUAUCUGGCGAAGAAUGACUUGCAAAGCUGAAGAGAGAGAACACGUGGGGUGGUACAAAAACUGUGCUCAGAUAGGCAACCUGAUGAUCUACAUGUGAAAUAUUGCAAGCAGUUCUGGGCGCACAAUUGUACUAAGGGUGCGGACGCUUUGGAGAGGAUUCCCAGAAUGCUGUCUGGAUUAGGGGAUAUUAGCUCUAAUGAGAAGUUGGGCAGCCUUGGCUUGUUUUCACUGGAGCGCCUGAGAUUGAAGGGAGACCUGAUUGAAGUUAAUAAUAUUAUGAGAGAUGUGGCUAAUGUUGAUAGUCAGAACCCAUUACUCAGGAUGGAAAUGUCAAAGACCAAAGGGCUUAACUUUAAGAUGAAAGGGGCAAAGGGGCACACAUCAGAUGUGUGGUACGUCAUGUAUACAUGAGUGGUGAGUGCCUAGAACACGUUGCCCAGUGUGGUGGUAGGGGCAACUAUGAUAGUGACGUUUAAGAAGGUUUUAUAUUAUCACAUGCGUAUGUAGGGAGUGGAUGGAGAUGGGUCAUAUGCAGGCAAACGGCCUUAGUUGAUCUUAGCAUUAUGUUUUCGGCUGACUAUCGAGCGAUUCAGCGCAAAUCAGGGUAACAUUGCUUUCCCCGGUGAAAUGGCGGGUGGUUUCUACACUCCAGAGAUGGAGUUAAUGUGGGGAAUACUGAAGUGGGUGCGCAUUGUGCAUUUAAAACAAGAAUUAAACAAGUUGGUCACGUGGUCGAGAGGCACAAUUCGCUAGAAUUUUGAAGAUUGAGGGGGGAUCUUAUAGAAACUUACAAAAUUCUUAAGGGGUUGGACAGGCUAGAUGCAGGAAGAUUGCUCCCGUUGUUGGGGAAGUCCAGAACAAGGGGUCACAGUUUAAGGAUAAGGGGGAAAUAUUUUAGGACCGAGAUGAGAAAAACAUUUUUCACACAGAGAGUAUUGAAUCUGUGGAAUUUUCUGCCACAGAAGGUAGUUGAGGCCAGUUCAUUGGCUAUAUUUAAGAGGGAGUUAGAUGUGGCCCUUGUGGCUAAAGGUAUCAAGGGGUAUGGGGAGAAGGCAGGUACAGGAUACUGAGUUGGAUGAUCAGCCAUGAUCAUAUUGAAUGGCGGUGCAGGCUCGAAGGGCCGAAUGGCCUACUCCUGCACCUAUUUUCUAUGUUUCUAUGUUUCUACAUGUUCACGUGAGGGUGGAUGGUAUGUGGAACGAGCUGUCAGUAGUCUAGGCCGGUACAAUAACAACAUUUGGACAGGAACAUCGAUAGGAUAUGUCUGGAGAGAUAUGCUCUGGAUCUAUGAUAAUGCCACUGGAACCCCGCGGCAAGCGGCAGAAGUUGAGCAACAAUACACUGCAGAUGAUGAAUGCAAUAAAGUAGAGCUGCUGGAGACAUUGAGCUGGUCGUACAACAUCUGUGGUGGGAAACGGGUAUUCGGAUGCAGAUACUUCAACUUGUCAAUGAGCCGAGGGGAAGCAGGUACUAUAGAUAGGGAGGUGAAUUGUGGGGCAAGAGCCAGCAUGCAAUAGAUGGAUACAGGUGAAGAAGGCUUGAUUGGUAGAUAAGAGUCAGCUGAGGUGGGAAAGGUGAAGAUAGCACCAGAGGCUGGGAGGUGGCAAGUGGAGAACAAAAAGAUGGGGUUUCCGACCCUGAUAGGACAUGAAGCAGCAGAGUGACGCCGCCAAAUGGCGCGGGUUCGGUGGUGGGCAGAUAGUAAGAACAAAAAGAAGGGGCGAGUAAGAAGUGAGGGCGAGAGAAUCCAAUGGGUGGAGUGUGUGGGUAGGCAAUGUGCACAUAGGGCACGGGGCAGAGGAUAUGGUGAUCGGGGUCGGGCGCAUUGUGAUAUAAAUAGUUGGUGUGAGAGAACCAGGAUAGAUAGGAGGAAAUGGGAAGGAACACCGGGGUGGGCAUUACAUGAAAUUGGAGAAUUAAUGAUUUCCCGCCGAUAGUUUGCAGGUACCCAUGUGGGAUAUGAUGUGAUAUUUCUCUCGUUUGCGUGUAGACUCACCUUGGCAGUGAAGGAGGCCGAAGAGAAACCAGUCUCUGUGGGAAAUGAAAGAGGAAUUGAAAUGGCAGGUAACCGUGAGAUCCAGAUGGCAGAAGCAGAAACAGAAGUGGUUAGAUUAUGUGGAAUUCAGCCCCAAAUUUUACACGGAAUACUGAAGUUCAACCUGGGGAACUGCAGCCAAUUGCAAAUAGUUUUAACUCAUGUUCUUCAAAGAUAAGGAGGUCUUCAAGUUGAGAACAUGGAGCUCCAGGGGGUGCGUGAAACUCCUGGUGCACCUGACUCUGGAGUUGGACAUCAGCCGGGAAAUCCUAAGCCAGGUUCAUAUCAUGUAGGGCGUGACGGUGGCGCAGCUGUAGGGCUGCUGCCUUACAGAGAUCAGGGUUCGAUCUCGACAACGUGUGCUUGUUUGAAGGGAGUUUGUACGUUCUCCCAGGGAACGCGUGGGUUUUCUCCGAGAUCUUCGAUUUCCUCCCUCAUUCCAAAGACGCAGGUUAAUUGGCUCGGAAUCAGUGUAAAAUUGUCCCUAGUGUGUGUGGGAUAGUGUUAACGUGUGGGGGUCGCUGAUCGAUGCGGGUUCGGUGGGCCGAAUGGCCUGUUUCCGUGCUUUAUCUCGAAACCAAAUUAAAAAAAAUUAGUCAUUAGAGAGUGAAUAGUUGAUGUGGUUGCAACUGCAGUGGGUGGACUAUAAUUCUCGACACUUUGAUAUCAAAAAGCAAAAUUAAGCAAAAUGUCGAGAGCGCUUGUUAAAUGUUAAGGUGUAAAGGGACGGUGAGCGGAUGUUUCUUCAAUAUACCUCUAUGUAAACUACCAUGGCGAAGGAUACACUGCGUUAAGUAUUUGCGUAUAGGAGCAGGGAGGUUCUACUGCAGUUGUACAGGGUCUUGGUGAGACCACACCUGGAGUAUUGCGUACCGUUUUGGUCUCCUAAUCUGAGGAAAUACAUUCUUGCCAUAGAGGGAGUACAGAGAAGGUUCACCAGACUGAUUCCUGGGAUGUCACGAUAUUCAUAUGAAAAAAGAUUGGAUAGACUCGGCUUGUACUCGCUAGAAUUUAGAAGAUUGAAGGGGGAUCUUAUAGAAACUUACAAAAUUCGUAAGGGGUUCGACAGGCUAGAUGCAGGAAGAUUGUUCCCGAUGUUGGGGAAGUCCAGAACAAGGGGUCACAGUUUAAGGAUAAGGGGGAAAGUGUUUUAGGACCGAGAUGAGCAAAACAUUUUUCACACAGAGAGUGAUGAAUCUGUGGAAUUCUCUGCCACAGAAGUAGUUGAGGCCAAUUCAUUGGCUAUAUUUAAGAGGGAGUUAAAUGUGGCCCUUGUGGCUAAAGGGAUCAGGGGGAAUGGAGAGAAGGCAGGUACGGGAUACUGAGUUGGAUGAUCAGCCAUGAUCAUAUUGAAUGGCGGUGCUGGCUCGAAGGGGCCGAAUGGCCUACUCCUGCACCUAUUGUCUAUGUUUCUAUGUUUCAACACUUCCAUUCCCUGUCAAAUGUAGAGGUUUAACCUCCAACAUGUGUCGAUUCGUCCAUUGAAUAGACGUGUUUUUGAUGAUUUAAAGAUCACAGCUCGACUUUCCUCAGCCUAAUCCCCACAUCUAAUGCAGGCAAAGGGCAUGCGGUGGUUUUUCUCUUGAUGCUUUCAUCUUAUUCCUUCAGUUAACAUUUCACUCCCACUUUGUAGACAGUGGCGACCGACCCGCAAUGUCUUUUGGAGGAAAACACAUCCCGCUGAUCAUCUGUGCUUUAAUUGGCCUCUCUAUCCUGUUAUCCAUCGCGUCUCUCGGCACUGUUGUUGGACUGAUGAGCCAGCUGCAGGGUGAAAUGAAAACAUCGGACGCUGGAUUUCGGAUGGAACUUGCACAGAUGAAGAAUGACUUGAUACAGCUGUUGAAUGAAAUGAAGGCAUCAGACUCGAGCGCCAUGGCGGACAUUUCUAACUUGACUGGCAGUGGUAGGUGCAACACCCAAUCUGACGGUUCUAUGUGUCUCCAACCCCGGAGGUUUGGAGUUGUUCGGUUUCUUUGGCGAUUCCCUGGAUUUUCAAACGAGAAUCCCCUCAAACAUAUUGCAAACUGGAGCAUUCAGGCUUCUGACGUGAAAGCCGCCACACAGGAAGUCUUCUGUU